CAACUAGUAGUUUAUUUAGAAUAUUAAUUUUGGGUAUUAAAGGUAUAGGGAAAUCUCUAUUAUGUUGA
rnacentral:tRNA from 1 species